CACGAUCUUAAUUUUCAAAAAACUCUUCGUUUCGUUUGUUCAAAUUUGAAUUUUCUUUAGUAAAAAACAGGAAGUGAAAGCCAAUAUGGCGGGAACAGAUCUACCACAAAAUCUCCCUUUUCUUUACCUCGGCUUGCUUCAGAUAAAUCCAGAGGAGGCCAGAAUUGCUCUGAUUCAAGAUGAAAUAUCCACCGCUGGAUCUGAUGAAGGAGUUUAAGGUACUAAAACGGCACUGGUUCUAUUAUUUGCGUAUCUGAAUGAAUCAAGGAUUACUUUUUGUUUUUGUAAUUAAACAUAUAUUUAAAACUUUUGCAUGGAUUAUUUGACGAUUAAAGAAGCAAAAAUAAGAUAAAAACAUCACCUAUGUCUUUUUAAUUUAUGCAGAGAUUAGUUUA